UAUAUUUUAAUAUAUGAUGUAUAAAGAAUUUUGAAUUCUUAAGAGAUAGUUUAAUUCUAUCAAAUAUAA
rnacentral:tRNA from 1 species